UAUGUAUUUUUUGUUCUAGGUAUGUGUUGUAGACGGCGCAGGGGGAGGGCCUGGGGCUUGGUGGAAACGGCAGGGUUUCGGAGAUGUUUUUUUGUUGUUCUGUUCAUGUAUAGCGCACGCGCUUGAGUUCGGACGUCAGGGAUUUCAAAGGAUCACCUGUUUGCGUCAUCUAUGUAUCGAUUUGUGAUCCCCCCGUUCGUUUUCCUCGAUCCAUCAGAUUGCGCUGUCUUUUGAUUCUGUCUACGGUUGAUUCUAGUAUGGCAGGUUUUAGUAGAAGGGCUAAAACCACCUACACGAGCUUUCGGCAGCAUGAAUCAUGAAAUUGGAGGGGGUACCUUUUGGAGAAUAUUUUAGGAGAAGUGCUAAAAACAGCUUUGCGGGGAGGAGGACAUGAACUGAUCACUGCUACGACCCCUGACUGAAGUUCUAUCUGCUUGUCAUCUGCUAGCUUGCUUUUGGCCAGGCCCUGUGAUUUUCUUAUGUUCUAUGUCCUGCGCCCUGACUGAGGCACAUGAAGAGUUCUGUUGUGUAUUAUUAAUUGUUAUACCAAAGCUGUGCACCCAUAUGUGAUUUUCCCUUUCUGCUUGUUUGUCGUCUGUUAUUAGAUUCAGCAAAGCACAGCAUUCUCAAAGCAGUGGCAGCAAAUACGAUUUACAUAGUCCUCUCCUGAAGUUCAAAUAAUUGAUAAGCAGACCAUCUCAAAGGAAUUACAACAAAUACAAAUAAGAGGGAGAGCUAAUACAAGAAAAGCAAACCAGCCAGCACUCCUAAAUCUGUACACCAACUGGAGUCACUGAGAGAUGAAGUUUUGUCCUUUUUUUUUACUCACACAAGGAGAUGCAAACACAAGGAAGUAAAUGCGCAUGUUUAGCAGAUCAAAGCCCUCAGCCCAUGGACAAUAAUAAUGUAGUGUGGUGGAACUUCUUUUUGGUGUUGCGGCGUAUGGGAGACAGCCUGAAGCUUCUACGUUCUAUGCUUAUUUUUUUUCUCAGCAGGAUUUUUUGUGUUUUUCUCACAUUUUUGUUUCAGUACUAAAGGAGAGAUAAAAAGUUUACUCAGAAUCUAUGCAAACUGGUUAUCAUGUGUGAUCCCAAUACUUGUAUACG